GAGUGUCUGGGCUCAGGCUACCAUGAUUCCAGGUCCAGCCCAACACAGGGAAAAUGGAUCAUUGAAAGUGAAGAAAGCCACUGCUGAGAAAGAAUUUCAGAUUCCAAGUAGAGCCUGGAACAGACUUGAAGACUCUAGAAUGGAAGAUCUGAGGGCCAACAGAUGGCCGGAGAAGUGGGAAGAAGCUGCUGGAGCAGGAGGGAGCACGCGGAACUCGAAGCCAGACGCUCAGAAAUCCCAGCUCUGCCAUUGAUUUGCAGUUUGACCUUGAAUACCAUGGUCCUCCCGGAAGCUCCGUUUCCCAACCCUUGAAAAAAACCCCUAUUCCAGAGGGGCUGUGGAGCUCUCCCCCAGGAAACGCUGGGCAGGUAGCAAGUGUUCAGGGAAUUGUAGGGUUUCCCCCUGUCUUUCUCUCCGCCUGGGGGUAGGAUGCAGGGAAAGGAGGGAGACGUCCAUCCUGUUGCAAGGAGCCUGAUGAAACGUGAGCGAAGGCUUAUCUCCUGAAUCACUGCUGUAAUUAAUAGAAUUAAAGCUCUGCAGACCAGCUCCGUUCCACACACAAUUCAGAAUGAAUGAGUCCUCCUGGUUGAGUUUACUCUCAUAAAUUGUUUCAGAGGUUUAUUUGCCCAGAGCAGUGGGUCAUCCAGAGGAACUUCCUGUCCUGCCAUGUGGCAGAUAUUUCACUGACACACAGACAUUUGAAUGGGACUUUUGCGCUGCACAUUUCCUUGUGAUCCUUAUAAUUCUUCUGUUUAGGAGAUCCCAUGGCACUCAGCGGUAACAAACCCGACCAGUAUCCAUGAGAUGCGGGUUCGAUCCCUGGACUCGCUCCGUGGGUUAGAGGAUCCCGCGUUGCUGUGGCUGUGGUAUAGGCUGCCAUCUGCAGCUCUGAUUUUGACCCCUUGCCUGCGUGGGAACGUCCGUGAGCUGCAGGUGUGGCCAUAAAAAACAACAACAACUAGAAAACCAACUUCUGUUUAUGGGCUAAUUGAAGAGGUGCCGCCAUGCUCCACUCUGCCCAGAGGAACUAAGUGGAUUCACGUAAAGCCCGGACAGGUUGGGAAAUUAAAGGAGUCUGAUUAGGGCGAGGUUUUCCUACCCAUUUCCUGGCUUUGGGUCAUGUCACACCCGCAACGGGUGAUGUUCAUUCUUGCAUCUGCGGCAUCCCUCCGUGCCCCCACGUGUCCCAUUUCUGGGACACCCCUUGGCUACCCGUUGUUUUCCAGUUCUCACUCUGUACUCCCAGGAAAAACAAUCAAAUCAAAUCACUCCAUCAUUAAAAAACCAGUAAGUCUUCAAGCAAUAUUCCUUCUGCCACGAUUUGCAUUUUCAGAGGAAAGAACGCUCUUACACUUGAAGGAUAAAAUUUCUCUGGUAGAAUUUCAGGCAUUCUGAACCAGCUUUUGGUCCCACAAGCCUCUUAGAGAAGGGCUUUGGCAUUCUGAUAUUUCUCCAGCAUUUUCUAUGUGCCAGACAAUAGGGGAAUUUUUUUUUUUUUAAUUGAGGUAUGGUUGAUUUACAAAGUUGUGUUAAUUUCUGCUCUGUAGCAAAGUGAUUCAGUUAUACAUAUACAAACAUUCUUUUUUACGUUAUUUUUCACUACAGUUUAUCACAGAUUAUUGACUAUAGUUCACUGUGCUAUGUAGUAGGAUCUUAUUGUUUAUCUGUUCUAUAUGAGUUUGCAUCCACUAAUCCCAUUGGGUAUCUUUUUAAAAGCUUGAUUGCUUUUGUAAUGAUAAACGUGAUGAUGAUAAUGUUGAUAAAAAUAUAAUAGCCCACGUUAAAUAAAAAAGUGAGGCACUCCUGUUGUGGCUCAGCAGGUUGUGAACCCGACGAGUAUCCAUGAGGCUGCAGGUUCGACCCCUGACCUCGAUCAGUAGGUUAAGGAUCUGGCAUUGCCUCAAGCUGUGGUGUAGGUUGCAGAUGCGGCUCAGAUCUGGUGUUGCCAUAGCUGUGGCAUAGGCUGGUGGCUGCAGCUUCAAUUAGACCCCUCUCCUGGGAACUUCCAUAUGCUGCAAGUGCAGCCCUAAAAAGCAAAAGCAAAAGGAAAGAAAGAAA
rnacentral:lncRNA from 1 species